CCUACGGGUGGCAGCAGUGGGGAAUAUUGCACAAUGGGGGAAACCCUGAUGCAGCGACGCCGCGUGAGCGAAGAAGUAUUUCGGUAUGUAAAGCCUUAUCAGCAGGGAAGAAAAUGACGGUACCCGAUUAAGAAGCCCCGGCUAACUACGUGCCAGCAGCCGCGGUAAUACGUAGGGGGCAAGCGUUAUCCGGAUUUACUGGGUGUAAAGGGAGCGUAGGCGGCAGCGAAAGUCUGAAGUGAAAUGCCGGGGCUUAACCUCGGUAUUGCUUUGGAAACUGUGCAGCUAGAGUGCAGGAGAGGUAAAUGGAAUUCCUGGUGUAGCGGUGAAAUGCGUAGAUAUUAGGAGGAACACCAGUGGCGAAGGCGCCUUACUGGACUGUAACUGACGUUGAGGCUCGAAAGCGUGGGGAGCAAACGGGAUUAGAUACCCUUGUAGUC
rnacentral:rRNA from 1 species